UACGUAGGGUGCAAGCGUUGUCCGGAAUUAUUGGGCGUAAAGAGCUCGUAGGCGGUCUGCCGCGUCGGAUGUGAAAACCCAGGGCUCAACCCUGGGCCUGCAUUCGAUACGGGCAGACUAGAGUUCGGUAGGGGAGACUGGAAUUCCUGGUGUAGCGGUGAAAUGCGCAGAUAUCAGGAGGAACACCGGUGGCGAAGGCGGGUCUCUGGGCCGAAACUGACGCUGAGGAGCGAAAGCGUGGGGAGCAAACAGG
rnacentral:rRNA from 1 species